ensembl:rRNA 5S_rRNA 5S ribosomal RNA
AUCUUUAGCUAUACCACCCUGAACACGCCCACUCUCAUCUGAUCUCAGAAGCUAAGCAGAGUCGGGCCUGAUCAGUACUUGGAUGGGAGAUCAUCUGGGAAAUACACAGGGUACUGCAGGCU